rnacentral:rRNA from 1 species
GUACUAAGGUAGCACAAUCACUAGCCUUUUAAUUGAAGGAUCGAAUGAAAGGACACACGAAUCUAAAAUUAUCUUUCUAACAUUCUACUAAAUUAACAUUAAAGUAAAAAGACUUUAAUACACCUAAGAAAGACAACAAGACCCUACUGAACUUAACUAAAAGUUUCACUGGGGCAGUAAAAUAAUUAAACCUUUUUUACUAACUACAUAUAAAGAUCGAAGACAUGUCAUCAUAAGAACAAGUUACCAUAGGGAUAACAGCGUUAUUUAUCAUUAAAGCUCUUAUAAAAUAAUAAAUUUACGACCUCGAUGUUGAAUUAAAUAACUAAAUCAAGAAACUUUGAUUUCAGAAAGUCUGUUCGACUAUUAAAAAUUUACAUGAU